rnacentral:rRNA from 1 species
GACGAACGCUGGCGGCGUGCCUAAUACAUGCAAGUCGAACGCAUUUUCUUUCACCGUAGCUUGCUACACCGAAAGAAAAUGAGUGGCGAACGGGUGAGUAACACGUGGGUAACCUGCCCAUCAGCGGGGGAUAACACUUGGAAACAGGUGCUAAUACCGCAUAAUUCCAUUUACUGCAUGGUAGAUGGAUGAAGGGCGCUUUUGCGUCACUGAUGGAUGGACCCGCGGUGCAUUAGCUAGUUGGUGGGGUAACGGCCUACCAAGGCUGCGAUGCAUAGCCGACCUGAGAGGGUGAUCGGCCACACUGGGACUGAGACACGGCCCAGACUCCUACGGGAGGCAGCAGUAGGGAAUCUUCGGCAAUAGACGCAAGUCUGACCGAGCAACGCCGCGUGAGUGAAGAAGGGUUUCGGAUCGUAAAACUCUGUUGUUAGAAAAGAACAAGGAUGAGAGUGGAAAGUUCAUCCCUUGACGGUAUCUAACCAGAAAGCCACGGCUAACUACGUG